rnacentral:misc_RNA from 1 species
GAAAUGCGAUAAGUAGUGUGAAUUGCAGAAUUCAGUGAAUCAUCGAAUCUUUGAACGCACAUUGCGCCCUUUGGUAUUCCUUAGGGCCUGCCUGUUCGAGCGUCAUUUAAACCCUUCAAGCUCAGCUUGGUGUUGGGUGACUGUCCGCCGCCCCCGGGCGUGGACUCGCCCCAAAUCCAUUGGCGGCCGGUACGUAGGCUUCGAGCGCAGCAGAAACGCGAACUCGAGCCCGCGGUGUCGGCUCCCAGAAGCCAUCUCUUUUAUUUUGACCUCGGAUCAGGUAGGGAUACCCGCUGAACUUAAGC